GACGAACGCUGGCGGCGUGCUUAACACAUGCAAGUCGAACGGAAAGGCCCUGCUUUUGUGGGGUGCCCGAGUGGCGAACGGGUGAGUAACACGUGCGUAACCUGCCUUUGACUUUGGGAUAACUUCAGGUACCUGGGGCUCCUACCGGAUAGGAGCCCCUGCUGCAUGGUGGGGGUUGGCAAGUUUCGGCGGUUGGGGUUGGACUCGCGGCUUGUCAGCUUGGUGGUGGGGUAGUGGCUUACCAAGGCUUUGACGGGUAGCCGGCCUGGGAGGGUGACCGGCCACAUUAGGACGGGAAUGCGACCCGGACUCCUCCGGGAGGCAGCAGAGGGGAAGAGUGCACUAGGGGCGGAAGCCUAGUCCAGCAACGCCGCGUGCGGUAUGACAGCCUGCGGUUUGGAUUCCGCUUUCGCCUUUGACGGGGCGUGAGUGACGGUAAUGGGUAAAGAAGCACCGGCUAACUACGUG
rnacentral:rRNA from 1 species